rnacentral:tRNA from 1 species
UCUAAGGAUGAAUGAAAGUAAAAUUUUAUUCUAAAUAAUAUACAUCGGUAAUGUUGACCGUCCUCAUUUCUCUUCUUAAAGUAGUGUUUCUCUUGCAUGGGGGCCGGUAGCUCAGUUGGUUAGAGCACACCCUUGAUAAGGGUGGGGUCGAAAGUUCGAGUCUUUCUCGGCCCACCAAUAUAAGAUCAUGGGGGAUUAGCUCAGCUGGGAGAGCGCCUGAUUUGCAUUCAGGAGGUCAGCGGUUCGAUCCCGCUAUCCUCCACCAAAAACACUUAGUUAUAAAAAUUGUAAAUAAAAAUAAUAAUUAAUAUCAAUAUCUAUAUCCGAACAUUAGUAAUGUUAUUAGCUAAUGUUCAAAAUAAAAAUUUGAUUCAACACAGAAUUUUUUUCUG